rnacentral:rRNA from 1 species
AUUGAACGCUGGCGGCAGGCCUAACACAUGCAAGUCGAACGAGUGGCGGACGGGAGAGUAAUGUCUGGGAAACCGCCUGAUGGAGGGGGAUAACUACUGGAAACGGUAGCUAAUCCCGCAUACCAUCAGAUGUGCCCAGAAGGGAUGAGCGUGGUGGUGGGGUAACGGCUCACCAAGGCGACGCUCCCUAGCUGGUCUUGGAGGAUGACCAGCCACACUGGAACUGAAACCCGUUCCAUACUCCUACGGGAGGCAGCAGUGGGAAAUAUUGCACAAUGGGCGCAAGCCUGAUGCAGCCAUGCCGCAUGUAUGAAAAAGGCCUUCGGGUUGUAAAGUACUUUCAGCGGGGAGGCGUUACCCGCAGAAGAAGCACCGGCUAACUCCGUGCCAGCAGCCGCGGUAAUUC